ensembl:lncRNA
CGGAACUAAAUAACGGAACAAAAUAACGGAACUUAAUAACCGAACUAAAUAACGGUACUAAAUAAAGGAACUAACGGAAAAAAAUAACGGACUAACAGAAAUAAAUAACGGAACUAACGGAAAUAAAUAACGGAACUAACGGAACUAACGGAACUAACCACCAGAGAGACAGAAACAGAAUGCAGAAACUUAGAUGACAGGUCAGAAAGAGUAAAAAAAGGAACAGAAAAAAAUGGAAAAAAAAAAAAACGGGAAAAAACAACAAGAACAACAAAAAACGGAUAUAAUAAUGGAAAUAAUAAUGGAAAUAAUAACGGAAAUAACAACCAGAGAGACAAUAACAUAUUGCAGAAACGUAGAUGACAGGCCAAGAAGAACAACGGAAAUAACGGACAAAAUGGAAACAACGGAAACAACGGAAGCAACGGAAACAACCACCACAGAGACAGAAACAUACUGCAGAAACUUAGAUGACAGGCUAAUAAGAACAACGGAUAUUAUGGAAAUAAUUACAGACAUAACGGUAUUAAUAACGGAAAUAACAGAAAUAAUAACGGAAGUAAACUCCCGAGAGACAGAAACAUACAGCAGAAAUUUAGAUGACAGGCCAAGAAGAACAACGGAAAUAACGGAAAUAACGGAAAUAAAUAACUGAAAUAACGGAAAUAAAUAACGGAAGUAACGGACAUGACCUCCAGAGAGACCGAAACAUACUGUAGAAUCUUACAUGACAGGCCAAGAGGAACAACGGAAAGAACGGACACAAUGGAAACAAUGGAAACAACCUGGAGAGAAACAGAAACAUACUGCAGAAACUUAGAUGACAGGCCAAGAACAAUGGAAAUAACGGAAAGAACGGAAAUAACAGACAGAACGGAAAUAACGGAAAGAACGGAAAUAACAGAAGGAACGGAAAUAACCUCCAUAGAGGCAGAAACUUACUGCAGAAACUUAGAUGACAGGCCAAGAAGAACAACAGAAAUAACGGAAAGAACGGAAAGAACGGAAACAACGGAAAUAACCUCCAGAGAGACAGACACUUACAGCAGAAUCUUAGGUGAAAGGCCAAGAAGAACAACGGAAAUAACGGAAAUAAAUAACUGAAAUAACAUAAAUAUUUAAUGGAAAUAACGGAAAUAAACAACAAGAAUAACUAAAAUAAAGAACGGAAAUAACGGAAAUAAAUAAUGGAAAUAACGGAAAUAACCUCCAGAGAGACAGAAACUUACAGCAGAAGUUUAGAUGACAGCCCAAGAGGAACAACGGAAAUAACGGACACCAAGGAAACAAUGGAAACAACGGAAACAAACUUCAGAGAGACAUAAACAUACAGUAGAAACUUAGAUGACAGGCCAAGAAAAAUGAAGGAAAUAACGGAUAGAGCGAAAAUAACAAAAAUAACGGAAAUAACGGAAAUAACGGAAAUAACAACCAGAGAGACAGAAGCAUAUUGCAGAAACUUAGAUGACAGGCCAAGAAGAACAAUGGAAUUAACAGACACAAUGGAAACAAGGGAAACAACGGAAACAAACUCCAGAGAGACAGAAACAUACAGCAGAAACUUAGAUGACAGGCCAAGAAGAGCAACGGAAAUAACAAAGAUAAUUACAGAAAUAACUGAAAUAAUAACGGAAAUAACGGAAAUAAUAACGGAAACAAACUCCAGAGAAACAGAAACAUACAUCUGAAACUUAGAUGACAGGCCAAGAAGAACAACAGAAAAAACAGAAAUAGCAGAAAUAACGGAAAUAACGGAAAUAAUAUCCAGAGAGACAGAAACAUACUUCAGUAACUUAGAUGACAGGCCAAGAAGAACAACGGAAAUAACAGAAAAAACAGAAAUAACGGAAAUAAUAACGGAAAUAACGGAAAAAACCUCCACAGAGACAGAAACGUACGGCAGAAAAUUAGGUGUCAGGUCAAGAACAACAACGGAAAUAACGGAAAUGACAGAAAUAAUAACGGAAAGAAUGGAAAGAACCUCCAGAGAGACAGAAACAUAUGGCAGAAAGUUACGUGACAGGUCAAGAACAAAAUGGAAAUAACAGAAAAAAACGAAAUAACGGAAAUAAUAAUGGAAAUAACGGAAAUAACGAAAAUACAAACGGAAAUAACGGAAAUAAUAUCGGAAAUAACGGAAAGAACCUUCAGAGAGACAGAAACAUACGGCAGAAAACUAGGCGACAGGUCAAGAACAACAAUGGAAAUAACGGAAAUAACGGAAAUAACGCAAAUAAUAACAGAAAUAACGGAAAUAACCUCCACAGAGACAAAAACAUACGGCAGAAAAUUAGGUGACUGGUCAAGAAAACAAACGGAAAGAACGGAAAGAACAGUAAUAACUUCCACAGAGACAGAAACAUACGGCAGAAAAUUCGAUGACAGGUCAAGAAGAACAACAGAAAUAACGGAAAUAAUCAAACAAACCUGCAGAGCGACAGAAACAUACAGCAGAAAAUUAGGUGACAGAAGAACAACAGAAAUAACGGAAAUAAUCAAACAAACCUGCAGAGCGACAGAAACAGACAGCAGAAAAUUAGGUGACAGAUCAACAACAGAAAUAACGGAAAUAA